AGAGCGAACGCUGGCGGCAGGCCUAACACAUGCAAGUCGAGCGCCCGUAGCAAUACGGGAGCGGCAGACGGGAGAGUAACACGUGGGAACGCGCCCUUCGGUUCGGAAUAACUCAGGGAAACUUGAGCUAAUACCGGAUACGCCCUUACGGGGAAAGAUUUAUUGCCGAAGGAACGGCCCGCGUCCGAUUAGCUAGUUGGUGAGGUAAUGGCUCACCAAGGCGACGAUCGGUAGCUGGUCUGAGAGGAUGACCAGCCUCACUGGGACUGAGACACGGCCCAGACUCCUACGGGAGGCAGCAGUGGGGAAUAUUGGACAAUGGGCGCAAGCCUGAUCCAGCAAUGCCGCGUGAGUGAGGAAGGCCUUAGGGUUGUAAAGCUCUUUCGCACGCGACGAUGAUGACGGUAGCGUGAGAAGAGCCCCGGCUAACUUCGUGCCAGCAGCCGC
rnacentral:rRNA from 1 species